UCCUGGAAACGGGUGGUAAUACCGGAUGCUCCGCCUUACCGCAUGGUGGGGUGGGAAAUGCUUUUUGCGGCAUGGGAUGGGGUCGCGUCCUAUCAGCUUGUUGGCGGGGUGAUGGCCCACCAAGGCGUUGACGGGUAGCCGGCCUGAGAGGGUGACCGGCCACAUUGGGACUGAGAUACGGCCCAGACUCCUACGGGAGGCAGCAGUGGGGAAUAUUGCACAAUGGGCGCAAGCCUGAUGCAGCGACGCCGCGUGCGGGAUGGAGGCCUUCGGGUUGUAAACCGCUUUUGUUCAAGGGCAAGGCACGGCUUUUGGCCGUGUUGAGUGGAUUGUUCGAAUAAGCACCGGCUAACUACGUGCCAGCAGCCGCGGUAAUACGUAGGGUGCGAGCGUUAUCCGGAUUUAUUGGGCGUAAAGGGCUCGUAGGCGGUUCGUCGCGUCCGGUGUGAAAGUCCAUCGCCUAACGGUGGAUCUGCGCCGGGUACGGGCGGGCUGGAGUGCGGUAGGGGAGACUGGAAUUCCCGGUGUAACGGUGGAAUGUGUAGAUAUCGGGAAGAACACC
rnacentral:rRNA from 1 species